rnacentral:rRNA from 1 species
GACGAACGCUGGCGGCGUGCUUAACACAUGCAAGUCGAGCGGUAAGGCCCUUUCGGGGGUACACGAGCGGCGAACGGGUGAGUAACACGUGGGUGACCUGCCCUCAGCUCUGGGAUAAGCCUGGGAAACCGGGUCUAAUACCGGAUAUGACUCCAUGACGCAUGUUGUGGGGUGGAAAGCCUUGUGCGGCUGAGGAUGGGCCCGCGGCCUAUCAGCUUGUUGGUGGGGUGAUGGCCUACCAAGGCGACGACGGGUAGCCGGCCUGAGAGGGCGACCGGCCACACUGGGACUGAGACACGGCCCAGACUCCUACGGGAGGCGAGGCAGGUGGGGAAUCGUUGCGCAAUGGGCGAAAGCCUGACGCAGCGACGCCGCGUGAGGGA